rnacentral:rRNA from 1 species
ACGCUGGCGGCAGGCCUAACACAUGCAAGUCGAGCGGUAGAGAGAAGCUUGCUUCUCUUGAGAGCGGCGGACGGGUGAGUAAUGCCUAGGAAUCUGCCUGGUAGUGGGGGAUAGCGUUCGGAAACGGACGCUAAUACCGCAUACGUCCUACGGGAGAAAGCAGGGGACCUUCGGGCCUUGCGCUAUCAGAUGAGCCUAGGUCGGAUUAGCUAGUUGGUGAGGUAUGGCUCACCAAGGCGACGAUCCGUAACUGGUCUGAGAGGAUGAUCAGUCACACUGGAACUGAGACACGGUCCAGACUCCUACGGGAGGCAGCAGUGGGGAAUAUUGGACAAUGGGCGAAAGCCUGAUCCAGCCAUGCCGCGUGUGUGAAGAAGGUCUUCGGAUUGUAAAGCACUUUAAGUUGGGAGGAAGGGUUGUAGAUUAAUACUCUGCAAUUUUGACGUUACCGACAGAAUAAGCACCGGCUAACUCUGUGCCAGCAGCCGCGGUAAUACAGAGGGUGCAAGCGUUAAUCGGAAUUACUGGGCGUAAAGCGCGCGUAGGUGGUUUGUUAAGUUGGAUGUGAAAUCCCCGGGCUCAACCUGGGAACUGCAUUCAAAACUGACUGACUAGAGUAUGGUAGAGGGUGGUGGAAUUUCCUGUGUAGCGGUGAAAUGCGUAGAUAUAGGAAGGAACACCAGUGGCGAAGGCGACCACCUGGACUAAUACUGACACUGAGGUGCGAAAGCGUGGAGAGCAAAC